rnacentral:lncRNA from 1 species
UUAGGAAGAAGAGGCCAAAUGAGCUUGGAGAAAGUGAUUUUACAGAUAAAUCAGUUUCCAAGCAUGCACCACAAAUGACUUUUCCAAAAUUGUGAACUUUUUAAAAACUAAAAUAUUGCAAAAGCGUAAGCACUUAAAUCCAGAGCAGGUGCAAAAGCAAGCAACUAACUUCGCUCGAAAAUUCAUUCGAGACAGUCUUGUGCAAACUAAAUUUGAUAAAACUACUAUGAAACUUCUGAGUGACUUUGCAAAUCAACAUAUUUGAGAAAUUUUGUACAUACUCUGUGCCUGUAUUCUCAGCAUAAAAUAUAUAUAUGUAAAGUUACCUUGUACAGUAAAAGCCAUGUAAUAAAAGAAAAUUUGUAUACAGAAUAA